GAUGAACGCUAGCUACAGGCUUAACACAUGCAAGUCGAGGGGCAUCAGGAAGAAAGCUUGCUUUCUUUGCUGGCGACCGGCGCACGGGUGAGUAACACGUAUCCAACCUGCCCUUUACUCGGGGAUAGCCUUUCGAAAGAAAGAUUAAUCCCGGAUAGUAUGGUGAUUCCGCAUGGUUUCUCCAUUAAAGGAUUCCGGUUACCGAUGGGGAUGCGUUCCAUUAGGCAGUUGGCGGGGUAACGGCCCACCAAACCUACGAUGGAUAGGGGUUCUGAGAGGAAGGUCCCCCACAUUGGAACUGAGACACGGUCCAA
rnacentral:rRNA from 1 species